GUGACAGCCAGUGCACAUGGCUGGGGACACAGGAUGGCCGGGAAGGUGGAGCUGCUCCUGUGGGGGCAAAUACAGCUGCCAGGUGCACCCCAAGAGGAGGGAUCAGUGCGGAAAUGCAGCGCCUGGCUCCGCAUCACAGUGCACAUGCCCAUGGCCAAUGCCACCAUCACUUGAAGUCCCCUGUAUCAUCAAGUGCA